rnacentral:rRNA from 1 species
UACGAAGGGGGCUAGCGUGCUCGGAAUCACUGGGCGUAAAGCGCACGUAGGCGGACUCUUAAGUCGGUGGUGAAAUCCUGGAGCUCAACUCCAGAACUGCCUUCGAUACUGGGAGUCUCGAGUUCGGGAGAGGUGAGUGGAACUGCGAGUGUAGAGGUGAAAUUCGUAGAUAUUCGCAAGAACACCAGUGGCGAAGGCGGCUCACUGGCCCGAUACUGACGCUGAGGUGCGAAAGCGUGGGGAGCAAACAGG